rnacentral:rRNA from 1 species
AUUGAACGCUGGCGGCAGGCCUAACACAUGCAAGUCGAACGAGUGGCAGACGGGUGAGUAAUGUCUGGGAAACUGCCCGAUGGAGGGGGAUAACUCCUGGAAACGGUAGCUAAUACCGCAUACCAUUGGAUGUGCCCAGAGGGGAUUAGCUAGUGGGUGGGGUAACGGCUCACCUAGGCGACGAGCCCUAGCUGGUCUGAGAGGGUGACCAGCCACACUGGAACUGAGACACGGUCCAGACUCCUACGGGAGGCAGCAGUGGGGAAUAUUGCACAAUGGGCGAAAGCCUGAUGCAGCCAUGCCGCGUGUAUGAAGAAGGCCUUCGGGUUGUAAAGUACUUUCAGCGGGGAAGCGUUACUCGCAGAGGAAGCACCGGCUAACUCCGUGCCAGCAGCCGCGGUAAUUC